rnacentral:lncRNA from 1 species
GGGAUAUAUGGUCACCCUGUAUAAAGAAUGUUAGGAUGUGUGGAUAUUUAAAACCUUUUAUUCUCAGCUGCAGACAUCAUCCUGUAAUGUGUGCAUGGCAGCAGUACCAGCAAUUAUCUUCCCAGUGCUCAGAGGGGACCUUCUGCCACCUUCUCAGGCUGGAGUGCUGCCAUGGAGUGUAGGAAUGUCUUUUUGAAUCACAUGCUGUCAUCAUUUAGAAAAAGGUUUGUCUCUGUUUAAUUCCGUUCAAACUCUACCAAUAUAGAAACAGAGAAAACUGUGCUUCUAAGUUGCGAUGGCAGAGUUGAGAAUUACUGCUCUCCUCUUUCUUCUGCUGCCUGCAUUUACUCACGAGGACAAGCUGAAAGUAGGUAACUCCUUGAAAGAAGGACGAUGCAUUGUUUUUGUCUCACCCUUAAAUUCCUGGAAGUAAUGUCAGAC